rnacentral:tRNA from 1 species
GUCUUUAUGAUUGGUAGAAUAUAAUCAUCGCAUAAUCUUUCAUUUAAAUUGCA